GUGGGGAAUAUUGGACAAUGGGGGCAACCCUGAUCCAGCGAUGCCGCGUGAGUGAAGAAGGCCUUCGGGUCGUAAAGCUCUUUAGGUUGGGACGAAGUUUACUUGGUUAAUACCCGAGUAAGUUGACGGUACCGACAGAAUAAGCACCGGCAAACUCUGUGCCAGCAGCCGCGGUAAUACAGAGGGUGCAAGCGUUAAUCGGAGUUACUGGGCGUAAAGGGCGCGUAGGCGGUAAGAUGUGUGUGGUGUGAAAGCCCCGGGCUUAACCUGGGAAGUGCACCGCAAACUAUCUAACUAGAGUAUAUGAGAGGGUGGCGGAAUUUCCGGUGUAGCGGUGAAAUGCGUAGAGAUCGGAAGGAACGUCAAUGGCGAAGGCAGCCACCUGGCAUAAUACUGACGCUGAGGCGCGAAAGCGUGGGGAGCGAACAGGAUUAGAUACCCGGGUAGUCC
rnacentral:rRNA from 1 species